UGCCUCUAGGCACAGCUUUGACGGCUCAUCUUUUGUCCUGACUCCCUUGAGGGCCCCCUACUAAUUUCUAGCUUACUUAGCUAUAAUACUUUCAGGGGAUCAGUCCCCUGGCCCUGCACCUUCCCCCUUCCUCUCUGCAACCCCUGAUUGCUUUCUUUUUGUUGUGGUGGUGGUUUUAUUUUGUUUUCGGUACCAGGGAUCGAGAACCUCACAAUUACCAAGCAAGGACCAGGCAAGCCCUUGAGCCGCUGAGCUAAAUCUCGGGCCCUGCAACUCCUGACUGUAACACCCACUGUGGGGGGGUCUGUGGUGAGCCUGGCCUCUCCCCCACUGGCCCCUCGUCUCACCCUGUAUGACCGUCUCCUCACCCCGAGCAGGGCCUGGGCCUUAUGGAUGCCAGCGCAGAGGCUGGCACACAGAUGCUGGUCAGCAGGAGGGUGACACACACCCGCACUGGGCAUAGCCUGAGGGCCGGCAGCUGCUACAUACACAUCCUCGCCUGAGUUCAUUCGGUGCCUUGUGUCCCUUCUGCACCUCCCACCCAGGGUCCCCAAAUGCCCUCCACACACAGGUCACCCUAACAGGACCUAUUCUAGGACAGAGUGGUGGGAGCAGAGAUCAGGGAGGACACAGUGCCGGACCACAGACAGACACCCCACAGAGGCAGCCAUGGCAGGAGCCACUACCUUCUUCCAGGAGGGUGUGGCGGAGGUGGCUGCCUGGGCAGGCUGCCUGGGGCCCGGGAUUCCAGAAAAAGGCCCAGGGACCCAUCCGGGCUGAGUCAUCGGGAAAGGGCGGGCCUCUAGCUCUGAGUCACCCCAGGGCUUGCGUGCCUUCUCCAGCCGCCAGCCCGAUGUGGCCAUGGGGUCACCCAGACCCAGUUCAAAUCCCAGGCCCAAGCUACAGUGGAGACAAUCGGGACUGUGCCUGGGGAAAGGCUGUGUGACACUGGUCGGAGCAGAGGUGGCACUCAGCCCCAGGCAGGGUGUGCGAAUUUCCAGGGUUAGCGUCUGAGUUUUCUGAACCCUGGCUCUCCCCCAGGUCCUCCUGUUACUGCGUUAGUCAGAUGACCAGACAGGUUUGUCCAGGUACCACUGCAAGUGCCGUGCAGUUACAAAGGUCUUGGUGCCCUGUGUCUGUGCCCCUUCCCGCCACCAGCACAGCUCUCUGCCCAAUCUGUGCCCAACUGUGGCACCCACAUGAAUCUGCCCUGAGAAAGCAGCCUUUCCCUCUCCCACCGCUUUGAUCAGCUCAUUUGCACCAUAAUCGGAGGAAACUCUCAGCUCUGCCCACAGGCGUCAACAGGCUUCCAAAAUCCUGCAUGACGUUCCGGUCUCUGUAUCCCGCCACGCAAAGGAGGAGGACGUCGCUUUCUCCUGCCUCCAGUCCUGCUUCUCUUCGGAGCUCACGUCAAAGUCUGCCCACUCUUUUAUGUGCUUGUCCCCCCUGGGGGCAGAGAUGCUGCCACCUCCUCCACUGCUGCAUCCUGAGAAACUAGAUCGGCACCAGGCACCCAGCUGGCACUCCGGAGAUUAAUACCUUUAAUCUUCGCAACGGCCCCCUGCAAAGCAGCUACUGUUACUACCUGGAUUUCACAGGGGACAACACUGAGGCGUGGAGUCCAGCAAUGUUCCCAAGGCACCAAGCUUGGAAGUUGCUAACCUGGAUUUGAUCCUAGAGCUUUGGUUCUGGAGCUGGCUUGCUUUCAACGCUGCCCAGCCUUGCAAGCAGGAGGGCUUCCCCGGAAGCUACAGCAGAAGCGAGGCAGAGCGCGCACACUUCUGCAGCGGGGAGCUGAGCAUGCCGUGGUGUGGCUGGCGUGUGGGGCCAGGGAAGGAGGCUGCCCGGCGUGCUGGGUACCUGUGCUGUGUGCAUCGAUACAGCUCUGCCUCACCGCUGGGGACACGCCCAGGAGCAGGAGGGUUUGGUCACUGCACAGAUGUAAAGUCAACUCCAGGACACCUGCCUAAAAGCCGCACCACAGCCCUGUCCCAUGUCACACUCCCAGCAGCAGUGGGUAAGCUUCUGGUCCUCCAACGCCUGAGUUGUAGAUAUUUCCAGUGUCACACCAUCUAUUAAAAAUAAACUGGAGGGCUGGGAAUUUAGCUCAGCGGCAUAAGCGCCUGCCUUGCAAGCAGCCAGUCCUGAGUUCGAUCCCCAGUACUGAUAAAAAGACAAAAAAAUAAAAUAACCUGGAAACCGU